rnacentral:rRNA from 1 species
GACGAACGCUGGCGGCGUGCUUAACACAUGCAAGUCGAGCGAUGAAGCACCUUCGGGUGUGAAUUAGCGGCGAACGGGUGAGGAACACGUGAGAAAUCUGCCUUCAACUCUGGGAUAACUCCGUGAAAACGGGGCUAAUACCGGAUAUGAAACCUGCGGGCAUCCGCGGGUUUGGAAAGUUUUUCGGUUGAAGAUGAUCUCGCGGCCUAUCAGCUUGUUGGUGAGGUAAUGGCUCACCAAGGCGACGACGGGUAGCCGGCCUGAGAGGGCGACCGGCCACACUGGGACUGAGACACGGCCCAGACUCCUACGGGAGGCAGCAGUGGGGAAUAUUGGGCAAUGGAGGAAACUCUGACCCAGCGACGCCGCGUGCGGGAUGAAGGCCUUCGGGUUGUAAACCGCUUUCAGCAGGGAAGAAGCGAAAGUAGACGGUACCUGCAGAAGAAGCACCGGCUAACUAUGUG